UUUGUACUCCCUCCGUCCCAAAAAUUUUGCCUUAAAUUUGUCUAAAUAUGGAUGUAUCUAGUUACAUUUUAGUGUUAGAUACAUCCGUAUCUAAACAAAUGUAAGACAAGAAUUUUGGGAUGGAGGGAAUACUAC
rfam:Triticum aestivum genome assembly, contig: Triticum_aestivum_CS42_TGACv1_scaffold_329640_4BS